rnacentral:rRNA from 1 species
GGUUCGAUCAUGGCUCAGAUUGAACGCUGGCGGAUGUUUUACACAUGCAAGUCGAACGGCAGCACGGACUUCGGUCUGGUGGCGAGUAUGAACGGGUGAGUAAUGUAUCGGAACGUGCUCAGUGUAGCGGGGAGAAUCACGCGAAAGCGGUAGUUGAGCCACCGCAUACUGCCCUCGGGGAAAGCGGGGACCUUCGGGCCUCGCACUAUUAGAGCGGCCGAUAUCGGAUUAGUUGGUGGGUAACUGGCUCAUCAAGGCGACGAUCCGUAGCUGGUUUGAGAGGACGACCAGCCACACUGGGACUGAGACACGGCCCAGACUCCUACGGAGGCAGCAGUGGGGAAUUUGACAAUGGGGAAACCCUGAUCCAGCUAUCCUGGGCGUGCGAUGAAGGCCUUCGGGUUAAAAAGCACUUGGCAGGAAAGAAACUAGCACGGGAUAAUACCCGUGCAACUGACGGUACCUGCAGAAUAAGCACCGGCUAACUACGUGCCAGCAGCCGCGGUAAUACGUAGGGUGCAAGCGGGCAAUCGGAAUUACUGGGCGUAAAGCGUGCGCAGGCGGUUCGGAAAAAGAAAGAUGUGAAAUCCUGGUGAGCUUAACUUAAACUGCAUUUUUAACUACCGAGCUAGAGUGCGUCAGGAGGGAGGGAAUUCGCGUGUAGCAGUGAAUGUGUGCAUAAGGCGGAGGAACACCGAUGGCGAAGGCAGCCUCCUGGGAUAACACUGACGCUCAUGCACCAGCGUGGGGAGCAAACAGGAUUAGAUACCCUGGUAGUCCACGCCUCUAAACGAUGUCAACUAUUGCUGGGGCCUUCGGGCCUUGGUAGCGCAGCUAACGCGUGAAGUUGACCGCCUGGGGAGUACGGUCGCAAGAUUAAACUCAAAGGAAUUGACGGGGACCCGCACAAGCGGUGGAUGAUGUACUAAUUCCGAUGCAACGCGAAAACCUUACCUACCCUUGGAUGUCUGGAAUCCCGAAGAGAUUUGGGGAGUGCUCGGGGUGAGAACCGGAACACAGGUGCUGUACAUGCCGUCAGCUCGUGUCGUGAGAUGUUGGGUUAAGUCCUGCAACGAGCGCAACCCUUGUCAUUAGUUGCUACGAAAGGGCACCUAAUGAGACUGCCGGUGACAAACCGGAGAAGGUGGGGAUGACGUCAAGUCCUCAUGGCCCCGGCGGCAGGCUUCAACACGUCAUACAAUGGUCGGGACAGAGGGUCGCCAACCCGCGAGGGGGAGCCAAUCCCAGAAACCCGAUCGUAGUCCGGAUCGCAGUCAUAACUCGACUGGGUGCGGGAAGUCGGGAAUCGCUAGUAAUCGCGGAUCAGCAUGUCGCGGGUGAAUACGUUCCCGGUCUUUGGACACCGCCCGUCACACCAUGGGAGUGGGUUUUACCAGAAGUAGUUAGCCUAACCGUAAGGAGGGCGAUUACCACGGUAGGAUUCAUGACUGGGGUGAAGUCGUAACAAGGUAG